GACUCUGUAGCUCAGUUGGUAGAGCAGCUGACUCUUAAUCAGCGGGCCGUGUGUUCGAGCCACACCGGGGUCA
rnacentral:tRNA from 1 species